AAUUAGUUAUUAUAAUUAUUUGAAAUAUGUAUUUUAUUGUUAUUUGAUAAAUACAAACUGGAUGGCUUCAUCGUGCAUGAUUACGCAAUUCUUAAUUUGCUCCAUGAUCAUAUUUACCCACAAACUGUAAAUAAUCCGCUGCAGUGAUGAAUUAUGAGAAUCAAUAAUGAAUCUACGGCAACUGAGGUCACCACAACUAUAAUUGAUCCCCAAGCAAGUUGCAAAUAUACAUAGAAAAAGUAAUCGUGAUCGUUAAAAAUCAAAUAAUUAACUUUGAGAAGUUGUUGUCGUGGUCGAGUUUCAUUUAGCGGAAGAAAUACGUCUAAUAUAGGAGAAAUUAAUGGAAUCAAUAAGAACAAUACCAAAGCUAUCAACAAUGCACCUAAAAAUAUGGAGUUUACUAAGCGUACAAUAACAAAAGAUUUUCCAAUAAUUUUCCACUUAAAUUUGUCGAACGAAUUCUUAAAAAGUAAAUUUAUUCGCAAUAUGUAUUCGUUCUCGGUGUUUUCAAUAACAAUACCUAUUGCCGAUGAUUCUCAUUUCAUUUCGAAAAAAAUGUAUAUAAACUUUAUUCUUUCAGAUUAAAAUUACUAAUUAUAAUAUAUUUUUAGGAU
rnacentral:lncRNA from 1 species